rnacentral:tRNA from 1 species
GCGGCGGUGGUCUAGUCUGGACUAGGACGCAGUCGAGCAUUCGGCGUAAGCCUUCCAAGCCUGAAAUCCCGGGUUCGAAUCCCGGCCGCCGCA